UGCGUAGGCGGUGCAGAAAGUCGGGUGUGAAAUCCCCCAGCUCAACUGAGGAAUUGCGCCCGAAACUACUGUGCUUGAGGAAGAUAGAGGUACGCGGAACUUAGGGUGGAGCGGUGAAAUGCGUUGAUAUCCUAAGGAACACCGGUGGCGAAAGCGGCGUACCGGGUCUUAUCUGACGCUGAGGCACGAAAGCUAGGGUAGCAACG
rnacentral:rRNA from 1 species